CUAACAAUACGUCACGAUGGCUGCGUCAUCCACCUCACUUCAUCUCAUCACGUAGUCAUUUUAUGUCACAUCAUCACAAGAAAGAAGAUUAAAAUCUUUAGCUUUCAUGUGGGAAGAGGUCAUCAGGGGACAUGACCACUGAUUGACGUGUAAGCUGGAUCCAGACAACCAGAGGCAUCUCACCACCUACUUUCCCCUAUCCUUGGAACGUGUGCUCAGUCUACCCAUUCCCAUAGUGGGAACCGUUUUGAAGGAUGCAGCCUUGAGAGAACAAUUUGUAGAUGAGACUGUCUGGAUGGAAUGCAUUAUUGAACCCAGGUGGAAAGUGAAUUUGCCAACCAACUUGAAUAAAGCAGAUGCCUCGAUUCCAAUUUGGUGGCUUCUGAUUGUUGGAGGAGUAAUGGAGCUAACAUGUAGAGGCAGAUAACAUAGACUUCACACAGGGAGGCUCAGGGUGUGAAAACUUCAUGGUUAUAUUAGCUUAUGAACACUCUGGGAAGGGCUUCAUGGAGGAGGUGACUGGGAUAAGGAAGACUUUUAUCCCAGGGGAAGAGAACACAUGAAGAUGAAGGAGAAAGAAAAGAAGUUACCUGAGGUUAACUGUGAUCCAGAAGCAGACGAUCCUCCUUUGGACAUAGUCUGAAGGUCAACAGUAGCCAAAUGCUAGGUCACAAUGCCUACAUCAUUCACCGCACAUUCACCUCAGGCAUUUUAUUAUCUCACAUCAUCACAAAAAGAAGGGUGAGUAUGGAACAAUAAUAUAUUUUGAAGAAAGAGAGACCACAUUCACAUUACUUAUUAUAGUAUAUUGUUAUAAUUAUUCUAUUUCAUUAUUAUUUAUUGUUGUGAUCUCUUACUAUGCCUAAUUCAUAAAUUAAACUUUAUCAUAAGUAUGUGUGUACAGAAAAAAAAACAUAGUAUAUAUAGAGUUUGGUACUAUCUGCAGUUUCAGAAAUCUAUUGGGGAUCUUGCAACGUACCCCCAAGGAUAAGGGGGGACUACUGUAAAUGUCUUAUUGGCUCAAAUUUACCUGUUAAUUAAAGAGUUCUUAUAUUUUGCAUCUUUCCAAUAUUUGAGCAAACCAUAUAUUU